rnacentral:rRNA from 1 species
UCAGCCGGUAAAAUCAGUAUGUAACAUUUGCUUGUAGGCUAAGCAGGAUUGGGCCUGGUUAGUACUUGGAUGGGGGACCACCUGCAAAUAUCAGGUGCUGUUUGAG